AGCUUUAAGAUUUUAUUUAAAGUGAUGCCUGCCCAGUGCUAAGUGUUAACGGCCGCAGUACCCUGACUGUGCUAAGGUAGCAAAAUCAUUUGGCUUUUAAUUGGAGUCGGGAAUGAAUGGAUUAAUAGGGUGAGACUGUCUCUUCUAUAUUUUAUUGAAUUUUCUUAUUAGGUGAAAAUGCCUAAAAAUAGAAAAAAGACGAGAAGACCCCAGGAGUUUUUACUAAUUGUUAAAUUAUAUUAACUACUGUUUUUGUUGGGGCAACAUAGGAAUAUUAUUUUAACUUCCUUUAACUAUAUGCCGACUUAGUAUGAUAAAUUAAGCUACCCUGGGGAUAACAGCGUAAUUCUUUUAGAGCUUGCGACCUCGAUGUUGGACUAGGAAUUUGGUUGGCUAGCCGCCAAUUUAUAUGGUUCUG
rnacentral:rRNA from 1 species